rnacentral:rRNA from 1 species
UACAGAGGGUGCGAGCGUUGUUCGGAAUUAUUGGGCGUAAAGGGCGCGUAGGCGGGCGCCACAAGUCACUUGUGAAAACUCUGGGCCUCAACUCAGAGCCUGCAAGCGAAACUGUGGUGCUGGAGUAUGGGAGAGGUGCGUGGAAUUCCCGGUGUAGCGGUGAAAUGCGUAGAUAGUCGGGAGGAACACCUGUGGCGAAAGCGGCGCACUGGACCAUAACUGACGCUGAGGCGCGAAAGCCAGGGGAGCGAACGGG